UGUCGGCUCGACAAGCUUUUCUCAACACCGGGUUCAACCUGUAGUCUGGAGGAGGAAGAGGAAGAGGGAGGAUGAUGAAGGUGUCAGUAAGACACUGAAGAACGUUUCUGGCGUCGGCUUCAGUGCAGAACCGCUGCAGGAGAGAGUUUCAACUCUCAUCAGCUGGUAGUCGAGCUCGGGGUCGGUCAUCUCCACCUCCUGCAGCCGGAAGAUCCGCUGGUGGCAGCGCUGACUGAGCUGCUUCUUCUGCUCCUUCAGACACUCGAUCAUCUGAGGAGGAGACGGGGGACGCAGAUCAGAGAGACGAGGGGAGAGGCGGAGAAAAGAGAGGAGAGACGAAGAGGGGACAGAAGGAAAAAGAUCAGACGGAGGGAGGGACAAGAGGAAAGAUAAGAGAAGUGGUUCUGAUGUUUCUA